CCUACGGGAGGCAGCAGUGGGGAAUUUUGGACAAUGGGCGCAAGCCUGAUCCAGCCAUGCCGCGUGCGGGAAGAAGGCCUUCGGGUUGUAAACCGCUUUUGGCAGGAACGAAACGGCGCGAGCGAAUAUCUCGCGUUAAUGACGGUACCUGCAGAAUAAGCACCGGCUAACUACGUGCCAGCAGCCGCGGUAAUACGUAGGGUGCAAGCGUUAAUCGGAGUUACUGGGCGUAAAGCGUACGCAGGCGGCUUUGCAAGACAGGUGUGAAAUCCCCGGGCCUAACCUGGGAACUGCAUUUGUGACUGCAUAGCUAGAGUCUGUCAGAGGGGGGUGGAAUUCCACGUGUAGCAGUGAAAUGCGUAGAGAUGUGGAAGAACACCGAUGGCGAAGGCAGCCCCCUGGGAUGAGACUGACGCUCAUGUACGAAAGCGUGGGGAGCAAACAGGAUUAGAUACCCUGGUAGUCCACGCCCUAAACGAUGUCUACUAGUUGUCGGAGGGUAACUCCUUCGGUAACGCAGCUAACGCGUGAAGUAGACCGCCUGGGGAGUACGGUCGCAAGAUUAAAACUC
rnacentral:rRNA from 1 species